ACAUGCAGUGUCUCAAAACCAUCAAAGCUUAAAACCACAGUCUAACUUUUAGGAUAUUGUCCCUUUCUCUGUCACUCCAUGUCUCUCUCUCUAUCUAUACACACAUACUUUUCUUUUUUAAGGGGAGGAGGUUUAGUGUUUUUUGGUUACCCUAGCUAUAAAAAUGUAACAAUUCAUUUUUAGAAUCUCACUUCACUGUUGGAAAAAUGAAGUCACAAAGAACAAUGGCAAAAUUGAGCAAGCCUGAGGCUUGGAAGGAGGCCAGAAGAACUGGGUUUGAGUCUCAGUUCCACCACCUACUAGCUGUGGAACAUUAACACUCUAGCUAUUUCUUCCAAGAAAUCUGUACUGAGGCUGGCUCUCCGCAAAAAGAUUUUGAACUAGAAGAUAACAGCAUACAAAUAUUGCACUGAAAAGGAAUGUACCCGAGAAGCUGAAGGCUUUAUACUCUAUCCAAAACACUGCUGAAAUACCAAUAAGAGUGUUGCUCCAGACCAUAAAAAGAAUGAGGAGAAUGUAAUUUUCAGCUCUCUUCUGGCUACUGAGAAGGUCCUUGAAAUCCUUCAUAGCAACAGGGUAAACAGCAAAACCUGACACUGAAGAGGGUCACAAUGAAGAGGAAAAAGGAGAGGAAAGAAGAAUGUUUUUUCUUUUUUUUUUUUAAACUAUCAUUUUAAAUGCCUAUAAGCCCACUUUUCUGAGCAGGUCUUUAUAACUUAAA